UGGGGAAUAUUGCACAAUGGGCGAAAGCCUGAUGCAGCAACGCCGCGUGAGUGAUGAAGGCCUUCGGGUUGUAAAGCUCUGUCUUUUGGGACGAUAAUGACGGUACCAAAGGAGGAAGCCACGGCUAACUACGUGCCAGCAGCCGCGGUAAUACGUAGGUGGCGAGCGUUGUCCGGAUUUACUGGGCGUAAAGGAUGCGUAGGCGGAUAUUUAAGUGAGAUGUGAAAUUCCCGGGCUUAACUUGGGAGCUGCAUUUCAAACUGGAUAUCUAGAGUGUGGGAGAGGAAAAUGGAAUUCCUAGUGUAGCGGUGAAAUGCGUAGAGAUUAGGAAGAACACCAGUGGCGAAGGCGAUUCUCUGGACCAUAACUGACGCUGAGGCAUGAAAGCGUGGGUAGCAAACAG
rnacentral:rRNA from 1 species